rnacentral:rRNA from 1 species
AGAGUUUGAUCCUGGCUCAGAACGAACGCUGGCGGCAGGCCUCAAACAUGCAAGUCUAGGGGGUGUAGCAAUACAUCACCGGCGGACGGGUGCGUAACACGUGGGAAUAUACCUUUUGGUUCGGAACAACGCUGGGAAACUUGCGCUAAUACCGAAUGUGCCCUUACGGGGAAAGAUCUAUCGCCAAAGGAUUAGCCCGCGUAGGAUUAGCUAGUUGGUGAGGUAAUGGCUCACCAAGGCUCCGAUCCUUAGCUGUUCUGAGAGGAAGAUCAGCCACACUGGGACUGAGACACGGCCCAGACUCCUACGGGAGGCAGCAGUUGGGAAUCUUGGACAAUGGGGGAAACCCUAAUCCAGCCAUGCCGCGUGAGUGAUGAAGGCCUUCGGGUUGUAAAACUCUUUCGACGGGGACGAUAAUGACGGUACCCGUAGAAGAAGCUCCGGCUAACUUCGUGCCAGCAGCCGCGGUAAUACGAAGGGGGCUAGCGUUGUUCGGAAUUACUGGGCGUAAAGCGCGCGCAGGCGGCUAUCCAAGUCAGUGGUGAAAGCCCGGAGCUCAACUCCGGAACUGCCAUUGAAACUGUUUAGCUUGAGGACGAGAGAGGUGAGUGGAAUUCCCAGUGUAGAGGUGAAAUUCGUAGAUAUUGGGAAGAACACCGGUGGCGAAGGCGGCUCACUGGCUCGUAUCUGACGCUCACGCGCGACAGCGUGGGGAUCAAACAGGAUUAGAUACCCUGGUAGUCC